rnacentral:misc_RNA from 1 species
AACGCAACUUGCGCUUCUGGGUAUCCCUGGAAGCAUGCCCCUUUGAGUAUCGUUUCAACACAACCUCGCCUGCGUGCUUUGCAAAAGGCAUUGUAGUGCGGUGAUUGAGUGUUUGGCCUGAAUUGGCUAAUCAUUUGAAACAUAUCAUAAAUUCAGUAUCAUCCGUUGAGCACGCCUCACCUGGUUGAUGUUUGAUAAUUGACUUCGGUCAUUAACAUCAUUACAUCGACAACUGGAGGAUAUACUAAUUUGUGUAUCAAGGAACCUUUCAGGAAUUAAUUUUUCUGAAUUUUGACUUUGAUCUCAGAUGGAGCAAGAGAACCCGCCGAAUUUAA